UAGGGAAUCUUCGGCAAUGGACGAAAGUCUGACCGAGCAACGCCGCGUGAGUGAAGAAGGUUUUCGGAUCGUAAAACUUUGUUGUUAGAGAAGAACAAGGGUGAGAGUAACUGUUCACCCCUUGACGGUAUCUAACCAGAAAGCCACGGCUAACUACGUGUCAG
rnacentral:rRNA from 1 species